AAUAUACUCCCUCCAUCCCGAACUACUUGUCCUAGGUUCGUCCAGAUACAAAUGUAUCUAGAUACGUUUAGUGUUAGAUACAUUCGUAUCUAGACCAAUCUAAGAUACGUAGUUUGGGACGGAGGUAAUAUAUA
rfam:Triticum aestivum genome assembly, contig: Triticum_aestivum_CS42_TGACv1_scaffold_543356_6DS